rnacentral:rRNA from 1 species
CCUAGCCCUUCAGAGGGGGACAACAGUUGGAAACGACUGCUAAUACCGCAUACGAUCCAAUCUUGGCAUCGAGACUGGAUGAAAGGUGGCCUCUAUUUAUAAGCUAUCACUGAAGGAGGGGAUUGCGUCUGAUUAGCUAGUUGGGGGGGUAACGGCCCACCAAGGCGAUGAUCAGUAGCCGGUCUGAGAGGAUGAACGGCCACAUUGGGACUGAGACACGGCCCAG